GAUUGUAACGCGUGGAUAACCUGCCCAUUAGCCUGGGAUAACGCCGGGAAACCGGUGCUAAUACCGGAUACGUUCAUCAGAUCGCAUGAUUUGAUGAAGAAAGGAGCAAUCCGCUAAUGGAUGGGUCCGCGUCCCAUUAGCUAAGUUGGUAGGGUAACGGCCUACCAAGGCGACGAUGGGUAGCCGGCCUGAGAGGGCGACCGGCCACACUGGAACUGAGACACGGUCCAGACUCCUACGGGAGGCAGCAGUGGGGAAUCUUCCGCAAUGGGCGCAAGCCUGACGGAGCAACGCCGCGUGAGCGAAGAAGGCCUUCGGGUUGUAAAGCUCUGUCCCGGGGGAAGAACAAAUGACGGUACCCCGGGAGGAAGCCCCGGCUAACUACGUGCCAGCAGCCGCGGUAAAACGUAGGGGGCGAGCGUUGUCCGGAAUUACUGGGCGUAAAGGGCGUGUAGGCGGUUGCGCAAGUCAGUAGUGAAACCCGCCGGCUUAACCAGCGGCUGGCUACUGAAACUGCGCGACUUGAGUGCAGUAGAGGGGAGUGGAAUUCCCAGUGUAGCGGUGAAAUGCGUAGAUAUUGGGAGGAACACCAGUGGCGAAAGCGGCUCCCUGGCCUGUAACUGACGCUGAGGCGCGAAAGCGUGGGUAGCAAACAGGAUUAGAUACCCUGGUAGUCCACGCCGUAAACGAUGGGUGCUAGGUGUUGCGGGUAUCGACCCCCGCAGUGCCGCAGUUAACGCAAUAAGCACCCCGCCUGGGGAGUACGGCCGCAAGGCUGAAACUCAAAGGAAUUGACGGGGGCCCGCACAAGCGGUGGAGCAUGUGGUUUAAUUCGACGCAACGCGAAGAACCUUACCAGGUCUUGACAUCCCCUGC
rnacentral:rRNA from 1 species